AUUGAACGCUGGCGGCAGGCUUAACACAUUCAAGUCGAGCGGAGAUGAGGUGCUUGCACCUUAUCUUAGCGGCGGACGGAUGAGUAAUGCUUAGGAAUCUGCCUAUUAGUGGGGGACAACAUUCCGAAAGGAAUGCUAAUACCGCAUACGUCCUACUGGAGAACGCAGGGGAUUUUCGGACCUUGAGCUAAUAGAUGAGCCUAAGUCGGAUUAGCUAGUAGGUGGGGUAAAGGCCUACCAAGGCGACGACCUGUAGCGGGUCUGAGAGGAUGAUCCGGCACAGUGGGACUGAUACACGGCCCAGACUCCUACGGGAGGCAGCAGUGGGGAAUAUUGGACAAUGGGGGGAACCCUGAUCCAGCCAUGCCGCGUGUGUGAAGAAGGCCUUAUGGUUGUAAAGCACUUUAAGCGAGGAGGAGGCUACUGAGACUAAUACUCUUGGAUAGUGGACGUUACUCGCAGAAUAAGCACCGGCUAACUCUGUGCCAGCCGCCGCCGUAA
rnacentral:rRNA from 1 species